UACGAAGGGGGCUAGCGUUGCUCGGAAUCACUGGGCGUAAAGCGCACGUAGGCGGCUUUUUAAGUCAGGGGUGAAAUCCUGGAGCUCAACUCCAGAACUGCCUUUGAUACUGGCGAUCUCGAGUCCGGGAGAGGUGAGUGGAACUGCGAGUGUAGAGGUGAAAUUCGUAGAUAUUCGCAAGAACACCAGUGGCGAAGGCGGCUCACUGGCCCGGUACUGACGCUGAGGUGCGAAAGCGUGGGGAGCAAACAGGG
rnacentral:rRNA from 1 species